UCCUACGGGAGGCUGCAGUGGGGAAUAUUGGACAAUGGGCGAAAGCCUGAUCCAGCCAUGCCGCGUGUGUGAAGAAGGUCUUCGGAUUGUAAAGCACUUUAAGUUGGGAGGAAGGGCUGCUGGUUAAUACCCUGCAGUUUUGACGUUACCAACAGAAUAAGCACCGGCUAACUUCGUGCCAGCAGCCGCGGUAAUACGAAGGGUGCAAGCGUUAAUCGGAAUUACUGGGCGUAAAGCGCGCGUAGGUGGUUCGUUAAGUUGGAUGUGAAAGCCCCUGGCUCAACCUGGGAACUGCAUCCAAAACUGGCGAGCUAGAGUACGGUAGAGGGUGGUGGAAUUUCCUGUGUAGCGGUGAAAUGCGUAGAUAUAGGAAGGAACACCAGUGGCGAAGGCGACCACCUGGACUGAUACUGACACUGAGGUGCGAAAGCGUGGGGAGCAAACAGGAUUAGAUACCCCUGUAGUCAAA
rnacentral:rRNA from 1 species